GUCCACGCCGUAACGAUGUCUACUAGCCGUUGGAGCCUUGAGCUCUUAGUGGCGCAGCUAACGCACUAAGUAGACCGCCUGGGAGUACGGUCGCAAGAUUAAACUCAAAUGAAUUGACGGGCCCGCACAAGCGGUGGAGCAUGUGGUUAAUUCGAUGCAACGCGAAGAACCUUACCUGGUCUUGACAUAGUAAGAACUUUCCAGAGAUGGAUUGGUGCCUUCGGGAGCUUACAUACAGGUGCUGCAUGGCUGUCGU
rnacentral:rRNA from 1 species